rnacentral:rRNA from 1 species
CCUACGGGCGGCAGCAGUGAGGAAUAUUGGUCAAUGGACGAGAGGCUGAACCAGCCAAGUCGCGUGAAGGAUGACUGCCCUAUGGGUUGUAAACCUCUUUUAUCAAGGAAUAAAACGAGGCACGUGUGCCUUUUUGCAUGUACCCGAUGAAUAAGGAUCGGCUAACUCCGUGCCAGCAGCCGCGGUAAUACGGAGGAUUCGAGCGUUAUCCGGAUUUAUUGGGUUUAAAGGGUGCGCAGGUGGGUUGUUAAGUCAGUUGUUAAAGUUUGGGGCUCAACCGCCAAAUUGCGGUUGAUACUGGCUGUCUUGAGUGCGGUAGAGGUAGGCGGAAUUCGUGGUGUAGCGGUGAAAUGCAUAGAUAUCACGCAGAACCCCGAUUGCGAAGGCAGCAUACUGACGUGUAACUGACGUUCAUGCACGAAAGUGUGGGUAUCGAACAGGAUUAGAUACCCUUGUAGUC